AAGGAAUCUUCCACAAUGGGCGAAAGCCUGAUGGAGCAAUGCCGCGUGCAGGAAGACGCUUUUCGGAGUGUAAACUGCUUUUCUGAAGGAAGAUUAUGACGGUACUUCAGGAAUAAGGAUCGGCUAACUACGUGCCAGCAGCCGCGGUAAUACGUAGGAUCCAAGCGUUAUCCGGAAUUACUGGGCGUAAAGCGUGCGCAGACGGUUAGAUAGGUCGAUUGCGAAAUCCCGUGGCUCAACCAUGUGGACUGUAAUCGAAACCAUCUGACUAGAGGUAGGUAGAGGCAAGUGGAAUUUCUGGUGUAGGGGUGACAUCCGUAGAUAUCAGAAGGAACACCAAUGGCGAAGGCAGCUUGCUGGGCCUUACCUGACGUUCAGGCACGAAAGCGUGGGGAGCAAAC
rnacentral:rRNA from 1 species